rnacentral:lncRNA from 1 species
AUGUAGAAAAUGUGUGAAAAUCCAUCUCAAAAAGCCUUGAAAUAAUGAGAAUAUAUUACUUGAUAUGAAUUUAUAGGUCAUUUACUUAGGUUUCUACAUCAAUUUAUUGAUCCUUAGACUCUAAGUUUGAGAAAAAGUUUAAGACGGGUUAUUUAGAUGACACUUAUCUUCCUCUUGUUUUAUUCAUCUUAUAUGGAAAUACAUUACUUUUGCCUGUCACUUUUGUUAAUUAGCUUUAUCAAUAGGCAUAAACUGUAUAGCAAGCUGAAAUAACUGGAUCUUAUGUGGUAUCUUUUAGCUACAUCAUUUAAGGCAGUUGAUAUUUCUAUAAACAACAUUUUUAUGCACUUUCAUGUUUGUGGUUAACCUGUUAAAGCUAUUCUUCCCUUUUGUAUUUCUCUAUGUCAUUAUGAGGCAGUGUCUAAAGAAAAGAUACAUUUGACUGAUAAAUCCAAGGUUAUCCAACAUUAAGAAAAAAACAUAUAUAUACCCCAAAGGUUCAAUCUAAUGAUAUCAGGAUCUAGGAAUGAGGAGGCCUGGUCCCAUAAACCCCUUGAAAACAAUACAUUUGAUGAGGAACUUUUAAUAACUCUCAUCCUUAGCAAUCAUUUGUAUGAAGAGUUCAGUGAGUCAUAGCUGACCAGGGAAAUAUCUCACAACAAUGCAGUCUGAUAGCCAAGCACCCUGCUUUCAUUCCUUGUAAAGUAAAAAACACUUGUCUAAACACUCUCAAUGUAACACCAUUAUUCUCUUUUUUUCUUUUUGAAUGGUAAAUGACAGUAUCAAAAAAUCAUGGAAUUAAAAUAGCAGCUCCUUUCUUUUUCGUGCAUUUUUAUCUAAAUGAAAUCUGCCAUACUUCAGGGCCUAUGUUCAGUGUGAUACUUUUGUGGAGGCUCAGUCUAUAGCCAAAACUGUGUGUGUUGAUACUAAGAUUCUGAAAACCUUCAUUUUUUUAUCUUUCAAUUCUAUUCAUUAUACUGAGACAUUUAUUUUCCAGAAGCAAAAAGGAUGGAUGUUAAAGUUUUUUUUCUGAUUUGUACUUUUGAUUCACGAUCUGAUUUUUCAUAAAGAAGCCUCGACAGGGUUUGUUUUCCUAUUGAAGAUCUCACAUUCAAGUCUUCACUGUCAAGAGCAAGCAGGGGAUAGAAUGUACCAAGUAACUUAGCAACCAUCCAAAUUCCAUCCACAUUCCAGGCCUGUGCUCCAGUUCUAUGGGAAACACCAUUCAAUCCAGAAAUAGACAAGAAAGAGGGUUGAAACCUUCAUGACAAUGCUAGAGAAUUAACAGUGAGAGAUGCAUUAAGCAACAACACAGUUUUGCCUUUUACAAGCUCCCUGAGGUUUUUAUUUCAGUCAGAGGACCAAGAUUUCAGUUCAAGUCACUGGAAGAAAAGAGCUGUCAUUUAUGGUAAGAGAACAAAUUUAAGGAGCAGAGGGAAUUAAAAGUUCAGUUCUGACAUGUUAAGUUCCAAACACCUUAAUGGGUGUUUUCUCCAAAAGAGGAUUAUAGUCAGCAAGUAAUUUUCAGGUGAGAAGGUGAGAGGGGUGAAGGAGAGGUAAAAUGCUUGAGCCCCAAGGCAUGCCAGCCUUUAGACACCUAAAGAUGAGCAUGAAUGAGCUAAGGAGACUGAAAAACAGGUCAGUGAUAGGGAUAUGCUAAAAGUUCAAGAAAUUAAGUGUUAAAAAAGAAGAGUGAUCAACUGAACAAGUACCGAAAUAGGUAGGCAAGAUGACAACGAUAUUGAUUCUGGUAACAGAAAAGUCUUUGGGACAUUAACAAGAGGCCUUCAGAGCAGUGCACGGGACAAAAGUCUGAUGGGAGGGCCUUCUAGGGUGACUGGAAAGGCAGGGAGAUCCCUUUUGUUACUUCCGGUGUGUAGCAGGAAAAGUAAUUAACAUAUGGAGAAUUCACAAUCUUGCACUGCCUUUAACUUUGUGAUUUUCGAUGAACAUUUACAAUUAAAAAGUUAAGCUAUAUGAUCUUUACCCUUCAUUUGAACAUUUUCUAGUCUAUAAUCCCUCCUUAAAUAAUGCUUUCCCAAAUUUGACUUUAGUUUCUUAACUGUUUUUUAGAUUUAAAUAUGCCUGCUUUCUCUGCGUUCUGUUCUCUAUCUCUCUCUCUUCCCCCCACCGUGUGUGUGUGUGUCUGUGUGUGUCCGUGUGUGUGUUGCUGAGUCUCCCUUUAAGUCAGGUAGAAGAGGAAAACUACCAUAUUACCAUUAAUAAGUCCAUUAUAAAUUAUGAGCUAAUAUUAUUUAAAACAUAGAUGAAAAUAAAAAAUUCAAAACUUUUGAAAUGGGAAACAAUCAUGAAAUUUCUGUCCAGGCUAUUUUCUAUGACAUUAUAAAACUAAAUAGCCCCUCCUGAAUUUAACAUUACUAUUUUGUCUUAGGCUUUUUAAAAAAUACAGAUAUGUAGGCAAAUAAUUCUUCUACUCAAACAUAUCCCUACUUUAUAAGGUGGCUUUCGUGCCACUUACUGAGUAAUUUUAUAUUCGUGAAGUGCUUUGAGCUACGCAGGAAAUCUGUGAAAAAUGAAUAAAGAACCAGCUAUGUCUUCAAUUUACUCCAAGAUGGAAUGAAACUUUUCAUCCUGAUUAGGGAAUAAAUAUUAAAUAUAGAUAAUCUUGGAUUCAUGUUAUGAUGUGAACCUGUAUGUCUCUCUUUCACUGACAAAAUAUACAGAAACACUUUAUGGGACAUUAAUUCUUAAAAACCAUGUCAAAAUAUAGGUCCAUGGUGGAAUCAUUCUAAGGUGGCUCUCCAGUGCAUCCUGCAAGGGUAGGGUAGGGAGGAGGCCCCCCAGCCUCUGUGUCCUAGCCUGGUAGCAGCUGUCGUCUGGGCAGCAAGGAUGACUCACAGGGCUGAGAUCCCACCAGGCUCUUGCACCGGGGAGAGCCUUGGAGAGCUGAGUCAUGAGCCAGGAUAAUAAGCCAGAAUUCACUUCCAAAUCUGACUCAGAGCACAGGAGCUACCGAGACCAAAACAUGUGGCCACUUGGGUGUAGCAUUUGGUGCCCCUUCAAAUCAAUGUUCUUUAAUACAUGGUAAGAGACAGGACAUUCUCUUCUAUUGCUCAGAGCAAUUUAGCUCUGGUAACACGCUUAAAACCUCACCCAGCAAAACUGAAGCUUUCCAACUAUAUUCCCAUCCUCCUGAGAAGGUACUUUAGGAAUAAGGGCCAUAUAUUGUUACUAAAACAUGACUCUACUGUGACCAAGGCAUACCCCUCUUAUUUCCUCUUUUACAUAGACUUUAAACUGUAGACUAUAAAGAAUAGACUUCACUUUUAGAGCUGUUUAGGUUUAUAGAAAUAUUGAGCAGAAUGUAUAGAGUAAUAUACCCCCUCGCCUACUCCAGUAUAGUUUCCCUUAUUAGUAUCUUGCACUAGUCUGGUACAUUUGUUACAAAUGAUGAAUCAAUAUUGAUACAUAAUUAACUAAAGGCCAUAGUUUAAAUUAGAAUCAACUCUUUGUUGCACAACUCUAUAGGUUUUGAAAAAUGCUUAAUGUCAUACAUUCAUCAUUAUAGUAUCAUACAAAAUAAUUUCACUGUCCUAAAAACCUAGCAUGCUUUACCUGUUCAUUUCUCCAUUUUCCUUUUGAUGUAGUUUAUCAAAGUAUUCCUUACAAACGUUAUCCCUCUCAUCACAUUUUCAGUGAUGUUUCAUUACCGGGGAGGUAUUUUAGUAUCCCUUACAGAGAAACAACUAUCCAGCUGGUCCAAUAGUAAUCAGAUUCUCACUCUAUGGAUGGAAAAAUUGCCAGCUUCCCUUUCAAUCUUACUGAAAUAGAAUUUCAAAAAUUAUGUCUAACAAGUGAGAAGGUGAUAGGUGAUUGCCAUGGUGGGAAUAUGUCCCACAAAGUUCAUGUGUUGGAAGCUUAAUUCCCCAUGCAACAGUGUUGGGAGGCAGGGCCUAAUAAGAGGUAAUUGAUUAGGUCAUGAGGACUCUGCCCUCAUUAAUGGAUUAAUGUCAUUAUUGAGGGAGUGGAUUUGUUAUUACAAGAGUGGGUUGUUAUAAAAGUAAGUUUUGCCCCUUCUUGCUCUCUCUUACUCUCAUACUGUCUUGCCCUUCCACCUUCUGCCUUGGAUGACACAGCAGGAAUGCCCUCACCAGGUGUUGUCACCAUGGUCUUGAAAUUCAAGAUUCCAAGAUUCCAAGAUUUUGGAUUCUCUAGAAUCAUAAGACAAAUAAAGUUACAUUGCUUACAAAUUACCCAGUCUCAAGUAUUCUGUUACAUAGAGUACUCAAGAAUUUUCUUAAACACAAAAUGGACUAAAUAUGACUAGUGUUUAUACUCAAGUUUGAAGAACAGCAAGAAAGAUGAGCUCUCUACUUACAGGUAAAUUGUCUUGUGAUUAUUUCCACAGAACUCUGACUUGGAUAAGUUCCCCAGAGGGCAAGACCAAGGUCAGUUUAAUCUGAAGUCUUUCGUACUUGAUAAAAAUGUCACUGUAAUGAAAACUUGACCGCAAUUAUAAAGAUGACAUCAUUAUGAUGAUGAUUAUGAUAAUAAUGAUGACGAUGAUGAUGACUUUGCCAUUGCUUUGCAGAAAAGGCUACCUAAGAUCGGAACCCUCUGAUAAUUUGUGCUGCUAUUUUAAGAUCCAGUUCCAUUCUACAACUGGCUGAAGCAUGAAGUCAACUAAAAUAAACUGAAUUGAGUGGAACUGAACUGAACUGAAGUGAAAUAAUGUGAUUUCCAGUAAACCUGACACCUUAAGGACAGAACAUGAGCCUUGCCCAUCUUCCUCCCAGAGGUCCCAGCACAAUCACCGACUCACACAAUACUCUCAGUGCAUGAGUGAUGAAUUUCACUAACAGCGACCCAUCUCUCUACAUAAUCCACUCCGGUUUCACCAGAGCUGAGAGUAUCAUGAAUUACAUCUAUAGAUAGCUGUAAGCUAAUGACCAAAGCACAUAACUGAAUUCAAACAUAUUCUUUAUUGCAGUCAGAUGUGAGAAAACAAAAUUUAGAAGACAAGCCAGAAAGGAAAUGAAGAACAUAAAGAGCCUGAAUUCUCAUCGUCAAUUUUUCCCUGACUGACUCCGUUUUCCUCUCUUCUUUCCAUUUACCUUUCUGUUCCCAUCCCCAUCAUUUUUGUAGUGUUUAUUGAGUGUCUGCUGCAUGCCAGUCAAUGUGCUGAGUACUUUUCAUGUGUUAUACCAUUUGAUCGUCACAGCAGCACACUAUUAUAAUUAUGAAUAUGAUUCCACAUACUAUAUCUAAAAUUUAACUUAAUUUUACAUAGGAGGAAGCUGAGACUUGCCCAAGACUACUCCAUUAGUAAGAUGUGAACCAAGUGAACCAUGUCUGACUCAAACCUAACCCCUGAUUCUCUGAAUCCAUAUCACCGUAGAACUCAACAGUGAAAUAUUGGGGUAGAGGUAAUGCUAUUAGUACACAAACUAUGCACAGAUUUACAAGCAACUAAACAGGAACUCAUGGCCAGGCACAAUGGUUCAUGCCUGUAAUUCCAGCACUUUGGGAGG